rnacentral:rRNA from 1 species
ACUCCUACGGGAGGCAGCAGUGGGGAAUAUUGCACAAUGGGCGCAAGCCUGAUGCAGCCAUGCCGCGUGUGUGAAGAAGGCCUUGGGUUGUAAAGCACUUUCAGUCGUGAGGAAGGUAGUGUAGUUAAUAGCUGCAUUAUUUGUACGUUAGCGACAGAAGAAGCACCGGCUAACUCCGUGCCAGCAGCCGCGGUAAUACGGAGGGUGCGAGCGUUAAUCGGAAUUACUGGGCGUAAAGCGCAUGCAGGUGGUUGUUAAGUCAGAUGUGAAAGCCCGGGGCUCAACCUCGGAAUAGCAUUUGAAACUGGCAGACUAGAGUACUGUAGAGGGGGUAGAAUUUCAGGUGUAGCGGUGAAAUGCGUAGAGAUCUGAAGGAAUACCGGUGGCGAAGGCGGCCCCUGGACAGAUACUGACACUCAGAUGCGAAAGCGUGGGAGC